rnacentral:lncRNA from 1 species
CGCAUCUGAGUAGGUUUCUGGACUCUCUCCUACCUCUAUGAAGUAAUUCUAGGCUCACUGAGAAGUGACUCCUCCCACUACAGCUCACCCCCUAAUGCGUCAGGCCCACAACUGACCAGAAUAGACUUCCUUCCUCUUUUCUGUCUGCUACCUAUGGAGCAGUUGAGAAGGUUCGAGACCAGCAGUAAAUACACAGAUGGAUAAGACUCAAAAGAACCUACAAAUCCUGUACAAUGAAAUCAUGUGGCAAGAAUGUGGUUAUUCUGAGAAACAGAAUAAAGCAGCAUUUUGCUGUGCCUUUUCACACAGCUGCCAAUCAAUGGUACAUGCUGGCAUACUUUCAG